GGACUGAGGAGGCCGUCGCUAGGCAAAUGUCCAGUUCGCAUUCGUGUGUCAGCAGGGCCCCUUUGGGAUGGUAUAAACUUACUCAGCUCCAAAUACAGCCUAGUAUGCUGCUCUGCAUUCAAGAGGACCAUUUUUUUCCACGUGAAAAGUCUUAUGGAUACAGGAACUUCUCAAACCAGUGUCAAGUUUUCAUUGUAAGGAAAUAGCAGCAGUGGUUAAGAGUUCGCUCCAAAUGCUCAUCUUCUUCUUCAGCCCUGGAAGUCAAACAGGAAACAAAUUUAUUUUUCUCCGGGAAGGCAAAGCCGCACUCUCCUCUCACUUCGCAAUCCGAGCCCCAGCGGGAAUGAGACUCCUGGGGCCAGCGGGGCCUGCCCCGGCCCACCCGAGACCUCCGGACUGAACUUUCCGAAAACUUCAUGGCCCCUCAGCUGGCGGCGGAGACUCGACCCCCGACCCCACCGCCCACUCACUGCUUCUCCUGCGCGUCCAGGUCCCUGACGAGCGCGUCGCGCUUGUUCACCAGGGCCACCAGCUCAUCCAGCAGGAGUUGCUCGCGUCGCUUCUGGGCCUCGGUCUUCUGCCAGUCUGCAGAGGACGGGAGGCUCGUUACCCACCCGCAGAGCCUCGGCACACCCUCCCCCCCUUCCCGCCUUUUCCAAUUUCCUUGUAUCUCUCCGCAAACCAUGUUAGAGAGCCACUAGAUAGUGUUUUAUGGGGAGUUUGGCCGUCGUGAUGAGGAUUUCACCCUAAAACCCAACUUCCUAAAUCUUUCCCGCAGAUGGAGAUGGCUACCGCUGAGCUGGAACCUGCAAAAGAGACCAGGUGUGAGCGGGUGGCCAGCCGGAGGUGCGCACCUGAUUUCACCAAAGUGGGGGGAGGGGGAGUUGGAGGCCCAGAAAAGAUCGGCCGGAGGGUUGGUGGUGGGGGAAGUGGGCAAAUGAGGGGGCGGGAAGCAGAGAUAGGCGAUAAAAAAUCAGACUGAAAAGGCUAGAGAAUCUGCUUGAGAACCUAUCCUCCUCCCCCACCCCCAUGCUCACCCCAUACAGCCCAUUCUUCGCUAAUUUCCUCUUCGCUCUAUUUUAGCAGUUGGAUGUAUCUCACACUGGGCGCCAUAUGCUUCACAAUAACUUUAAAAGUAGUGAAUCGGCUAAUUAGCAUUUUUCUUUGAAGUAAAAAAUAAAUUUGCUCUGCAAUAUUACACUGCA